rnacentral:rRNA from 1 species
AACGAACGCUGGCGGCAUGCCUAACACAUGCAAGUCGAACGAGACCUUCGGGUCUAGUGGCGCACGGGUGCGUAACGCGUGGGAACCUGCCCUUAGGUUCGGAAUAACAGUUAGAAAUGACUGCUAAUACCGGAUAAUGUCUUCGGACCAAAGAUUUAUCGCCUUUGGAUGGGCCCGCGUAAGAUUAGGUAGUUGGUGGGGUAAUGGCCUACCAAGCCGACGAUCUUUAGCUGGUCUGAGAGGAUGAUCAGCCACACUGGGACUGAGACACGGCCCAGACUCCUACGGGAGGCAGCAGUGGGGAAUAUUGGACAAUGGGCGAAAGCCUGAUCCAGCAAUGCCGCGUGAGUGAUGAAGGCCUUAGGGUUGUAAAGCUCUUUUACCAGGGAUGAUAAUGACAGUACCUGGAGAAUAAGCUUCGGCUAACUCCGUGCCAGCCGCCGCGGUAAGAC